rnacentral:rRNA from 1 species
GAGUUUGAUCCUGGCUCAGAUUGAACGCUGGCGGCAUGCCUUACACAUGCAAGUCGAACGGCAGCACGGGAGCAAUCCUGGUGGCGAGUGGCGAACGGGUGAGUAAUAUAUCGGUACGUGUUCAGUCGUGGGGGAUAACGUAGAGAAAUUUACGCUAAUACCGCAUACGAUCUAAGGAGGAAAGCGGGGGAUCGCAAGACCUCGCGCGAUUGGAGCGGCUGAUAUCAGAUUAGGUUGUUGGUGAGGUAAAAGCUCACCAAGCCGACGAUCUGUAGCUGGUUUGAGAGAACGACCAGCCACACUGGGACUGAGACACGGCCCAGACUCCUACGGGAGGCAGCAGUGGGGAAUUUCGCACAAUGGGCGAAAGCCUGAUCCAGCAAUGCCUCCUGCAAGAAGAAGCCCUUCGGGUUGUAAACUGCUUUUGUACGGAACGAAACGGUCUGCCCUAAUACGGUGGGCUAAUUAAGAUGCCGUAAGAAUAAGCACCGGCUAACUACGUGCCAGCAUCCGC